rnacentral:lncRNA from 1 species
CAGAGUAUUUGGAACCAGAAUGCUCAAGUAGAUCUAGAGUCUUCUUAAGUGAUUCCGCCACACUGCUUCCUCCUUUUGAAGCACUUGCAUUGGACCUCAUUGUUUUUUACGUUAAAGAUCCAAGAAUUAGAGUUGGAGCAGAUGACACUGAAUGUGUUUGUUGCUCCUUGUGACAGCUCCCAAACUUCCGAAAGUAACACCAACGAUGCUUUCUACUUCAGCAGAGAACUUUGAAUCAGAAGCCUUGGAAACAGUUGAUUAAGAAUUGACCUUUUUGGAAGUCAUUUUGUUGUUCUUAAACUUUGAAGUUGG